rnacentral:rRNA from 1 species
GACGAACGCUGGCGGCGUGCUUAACACAUGCAAGUCGAACGGAAAGGCCCUGCUUUUGUGGGGUGCUCGAGUGGCGAACGGGUGAGUAACACGUGAGUAACCUGCCCUUGACUUUGGGAUAACUUCAGGAAACUGGGGCUAAUACCGGAUAGGAGCUCCUGCUGCAUGGUGGGGGUUGGAAAGCUUCGGCGGUUGGGGAUGGACUCGCGGCUUAUCAGCUUGUUGGUGGGGUAGUGGCUUACCAAGGCUUUGACGGGUAGCCGGCCUGAGCGGUUGACCGGCCACAUUGGGACUGAGAUACGGCCCAGACUCCUACGGGAGGCAGCAGUGGGGAAUAUUGCACAAUGGGCGGAAGCCUGAUGCAGCAACGCCGCGUUCGGGAUGACGGCCUUCGGGUUGUAAACCGCUUUCGCCUGUGACGAAGCGUGAGUGACGGUAAUGGGUAAAGAAGCACCGGCUAACUACGUG